CCCUUAGAUGUUCUGGGCCGCACGCGUGCUACACUGAACGGUUCAAUGGGUAAGGUAGUGCGAAAGCAUGACCUAAUCUCGAAAUCCGUUCGUGCUGGGGAUAGAAGCUUGCAAUUAUCCUUCUUGAACGAGGAAUACCUUGUAAGCGUGAGUCAUCACCUCACGCUGAAUACGUCCCUGCCCUUUGUACACACCGCCCGUCGCUCCUACCGAUUGAGUGUUCCGGUGAGGCUUUGGGAGAAUGGCCUCAACAUGAGUUUAUCGUGUUUUGCCGUUUGAACUUAGUCAAACCUUAUCACUUAGAGGAAGGAGAAGUCGUAACA
rnacentral:rRNA from 1 species